GUCCCUGUAACGCAAUGGAUAGCGCAUUGGACUUUUAAUCCAAAGGUUGUGGGUUCGAAUCCUACCUGGGAGGGCCCA